UGCUUUCUUGUGAAUGAUGGG
ensembl:piRNA 21ur-13202 ncRNA